CAGCAGCCGCGGGAAUACAGAGGUCCCAAGCGUUGUUCGGAUUCACUGGGCGUAAAGGGUGCGUAGGAGGCUGGGAAAGUCGGAUGUGAAAUCUCACCGCUUAACGGUGAAACUGCAUUCGAUACUACUCGGCUAGAGGAUCGGAGGGGAGAGCAGAAUUCUUGGUGUAGCGGUGAAAUGCGUAGAUAUCAAGAGGAAUACCAACAGCGUAGGCAGCUCUCUGGAAGAUUCCUGACUCUGAGGCACGAAGGCCAGGGGAGCAAACGGGAUUAGAUACCCCCGUAGUCCCUGUCUCUUAUAC
rnacentral:rRNA from 1 species